GACCUUGCAAUACAUAGAAUUCUAAAAGUGACAGUGGGUUGGAGGGUGAAAUUGCCACCUCUCCAACCACACUGGUAAAACCAACAGUCUCAAUUCUCUCCUUCCACAAAGAAGAAUGCAAAACAAUCAUUAUUUACAUGCACAGUGCAUGAGAAACUGCAGUAGAAAUAUAUAAAUAUCAGAAGGCAUAGAAAACUUUUAAAAGAACUUUAAAACUUUCAAAAGAACAGGGUGACACUGAACUAAUGCUGUAAGGUACUUAACUUCAUUAAUAAAGAUACAAGCCAGUCACGAUGCUUAAGGAUGAUGCUGCUUAUGACAUUCCUUAUUCUAAAGAACCAGAUCAAGUUUUUUAACCAACUGCUCUAAAUUCUGUGGCAAAUUGGUACUGAGCUGUAACAGAGUAGAAGACAUAGACCUUACCUGCAUAUCUGGAGAGUAGAAAUGCAUAAAAAGCCUUAUCAAGAAGGGAGCUUGCUUAUUAGAAGUAAAACUGUUGUCUAAGCAGGGUAGAUUAUAUUUUGCCCUAUUAUUUCUUUGUAAUCCUCUUGAAUUACAUGUCACUCAACUCCUAAAAUCAUUUUCUUUAUCUGAGUUGAUAUUUCUGCCUCCAAAUUAUUUCACUGGCUUCUUUUGGGUAUGUCCUACUUGAUGGUAGAUUUACUGCCAGGUUCAAUUCCUUAUCCUUCUGUGUGAAGGCCCAGAACAGCUUGAUCAGUUUUCACCUUGAACCUUUAUUCAUCCUUUAUUCCUUUGCCAUGUAUGCCUUAUAUCUGGAAGUGAUUCUCUGUCUUAUUGCUCCAGUCUCUUGACAUUCAUCUCAUUUAAUCUCCUCAAGAUUCAGUUCUGCCAACUGCCCCAGAAUGGACCCAGGUGUAAUCUUCUAUUCAGGUUACUGACAGUAAUGUGAUCUCAUUUCAUGUUUUUACAGAUCCAAGCACAAUUAGGUUUCAGUCUUUGGACACCACAGAACAUGUAGCACUCAGCCUUCUUGAAUGUGCAGAGUCCACAAAAAUUCAGAUCAUACAAAUUGCAGUACCAGAGAAAAUUGUUCCAGCUGCCUGCUCAUUCAUUCAUUCAUUCAUUCAUUCAUUCAUUCAUUCAUUCAUUCAUUCAUUCAACUUAGUCAUACAAAACACACAAAGAAGACUGUAUAGGUGCCAUAAGUAUCCUUAUUUUUCAAGGCUAAAUCCUGCCUGGUCUUUGACAGAGGUUUUUUGACAGUUGCUUGCACUGUACAUAAAUAAAGAAACUAGUAGUUCCUGGUUUUUCUUCUGGGCCUUUGUGGGAAUGUGUGUGCUUCACUGCCCCUGGAAGAAUGGCCACCUCCCAGUGCAUCUCAAUUUCUCUUCUUUAAGUCAUUACAAGGAUAUCUCUUCAAGGAAUUAUGUGGACACCUUAAAAAAAAAAGGGAGAAUACUCCUUCUUUAACACAUAUUAAAGAAUAUGACGAAGAAUACAAGCCAGAACGAAUGCUAAAAAAAAAAAGAAAAGAAAACCGUUUUGAGAAAAAAGCAAAAGAAAAGGAAAAAUACCUGUAACGACUGAUUUGGCCUGGCAGGGAAUCUGUAUCAUUUAUUCAAAGAAACGAGCUGGUUUUAUACAGUUCUGCAAGGCACAGUGUUUCCUUACGUGGGAAUUCUCAGUACAUGACCUGUCCCACAUUGCCAUGUCAGCCACACACACUCUACAUGUCCUUCCAUGGGGUGAUGACAUGUUGUUCACCUGUCUGUCAGUCCCUGGCAGGCUCCUCUUGUAUGUAGGUAAAGCCUUAUAAAAGGAAGGCCUUGUCAAAUCAGGCCUUGUUACUUCAGCUAAGCUAACAGCUAAUCUGGUAAAUUCCUGUGAGACAAGAAUUAUAAGAAUGAGAAUCAGUUUGCAGAAGAAUCUAUUCUUGUGAGAGGACAGCUCACACUUAUGGGGUGGAAAAUUCUACCCAUGUGAAACAUUCACUUUCCAGGAGACAAAAAUGUAAACUUAUCUAGAAAGAGAAAAGUUGGAUGGACAUGUACACUAGCCAUUGCCAACCAAUGCACUGAGUUUAAACAAAUUGCUGGCCAAUUAGAUUUAAACACAG
rnacentral:lncRNA from 1 species